rnacentral:rRNA from 1 species
UCGAACGGGGGACACCGACGGAAGGUUUCGGCCGGAAGAUGGUGGACCUAGUGGCGAACGGGUGAGUAACACGUGAGCAACCUGCCCUUCAGAGGGGGAUAACACCUGGAAACGGGUGCUAAUACCGCAUGAGAUAAUAGUUUCGCAUGGAACAGUUAUCAAAGAUUCAUCGCUGAAGGAUGGGCUCGCGUCCGAUUAGGUAGUUGGCGGGAUAAAAGCCCACCAAGCCGACGAUCGGUAGCCGGACUGAGAGGUUGAACGGCCACAUUGGGACUGAGACACGGCCCAGACUCCUACGGGAGGCAGCAGUGGGGGAUAUUGCACAAUGGGGGGAACCCUGAUGCAGCGACGCCGCGUGAGGGAAGAAGGUUUUCGGAUUGUAAACCUCUGUCUUCGGUGACGAUAAUGACGGUAGCCGAGGAGGAAGCCAUGGCUAACUACGUGCCAGCAGCCGCGGUAAUACGUAGAUGGCAAGCGUUGUCCGGAAUUACUGGGUGUAAAGGGAGCGUAGGCGGGGGUGCAAGUUGGAUGUGAAAAACCCAGGCUCAACCUGGGAGGUGCAUUCAAAACUGCAGUUCUUGAGUGAAGUAGAGGCAGGCGGAAUUCCUAGUGUAGCGGUGAAAUGCGUAGAUAUUAGGAGGAACACCAGUGGCGAAGGCGGCCUGCUGGGCUUUUACUGACGCUGAAGCUCGAAAGCAUGGGUAGCAAACAGGAUUAGAUACCCUGGUAGUCCAUGCCGUAAACGAUGAUU